rnacentral:rRNA from 1 species
UACGUAGGUGGCAAGCGUUGUCCGGAUUUAUUGGGUUUAAAGGGUGCGUAGGCGGUUCUAUAAGUCAGUGGUGAAAUCCGGCAGCUCAACUGUCGAUGUGCCAUUGAUACUGCAGAACUUGAGUACAGACGAGGUAGGCGGAAUUGACGGUGUAGCGGUGAAAUGCUUAGAUAUCGUCAAGAACACCGAUAGCGAAGGCAGCUUACUAGACUGUAACUGACGCUGAUGCACGAAAGUGUGGGAUCAAACAGG